GCCCGGAUGGCUCAGUGGUAGAGCGAGUUCUUGGUAAGAACUAGGCCGCGGGUUCGAUUCCCGCUUCGGGCU
rnacentral:tRNA from 1 species